rnacentral:rRNA from 1 species
GAUGAACGCUGGCGGCGUGCCUAAUACAUGCAAGUCGAGCGAACAGACGAGGAGCUUGCUCCUCUGACGUUAGCGGCGGACGGGUGAGUAACACGUGGAUAACCUACCUAUAAGACUGGGAUAACUUCGGGAAACCGGAGCUAAUACCGGAUAAUAUAUUGAACCGCAUGGUUCAAUAGUGAAAGACGGUUUUGCUGUCACUUAUAGAUGGAUCCGCGCCGCAUUAGCUAGUUGGUAAGGUAACGGCUUACCAAGGCAACGAUGCGUAGCCGACCUGAGAGGGUGAUCGGCCACACUGGAACUGAGACACGGUCCCGACUCCUACGGGAGGCAGCAGUAGGGACUCUUCCGCAAUGGGCGAAAGCCUGACGGAGCAACGCCGCGUGAGUGAUGAAGGUCUUCGGAUCGUAAAACUCUGUUAUUAGGGAAGAACAAAUGUGUAAGUAACUAUGCACGUCUUGACGGUACCUAAACAGAAAGCCACGGCUAACUACGUG